UUGAAACAGAGUUAAAAUGAAUUAAUUAUAAUUUUCUGAAGUUUUAAGUGGUAGAUACAAAACAAAUCAAGCGCAUAAAUUUAACCAUAUGUUUCAUACUAAAAUAAGGUUACUAGAUAAUAAACGAUAUUAAAACAAAAUUAAUGCCACUGGAAUGAAUCAAUUUGGAGUUAAAAUGAAUUAAAUAUGAAUUAUACAAGUUUCUGGAAUUAUUUUUGUAUUAAAAUCAUUUUCUAAAUUUUAUUAUCUGAUUUUCUCUGUUUCCUGGUUGCGUGCAAUAAUACAGUGAGACACGAGGGAAAAUUCAAAAGAUCUACAAGACUCUGGCUACACCCGCACGAGGAUCGCGGGUUGAUAAACUAUUAAUGCAGGGUCUCGUUUGCAAACUAGGCACGACGAAGGGGUACGGUGCAUUAUGGGCCGUCAGAUCGCCCAUCAAGCGCCCAGAUUAGAUCAUUCUUCUUAAAUGCUCCCACACUCUCAACCGGCCGUUGGAUCAUAAAUCGAUGGCACCGAUUAGGUCUUCUUACCGUUACGAGACCAGGUCCAUCCGAUCCCCAUCCCAUGGAUCACAUUCGAUAGAGUGAAGAGGUAUGCUUCAGCUUGAUCUCCACCGUCCAGUGAUAGAUCGACGGGCCAGGACCUUCCAUCCUCCUCUACUCACCAACCAAAGCUCACACAUGCGGCGCAGGUCACCCUGCGGUGGCGCCAUUGCCGUGGCCCAGAAGUUCACGCUUAAACACCAAAAUUCCAAAUCGCCCGCAGUCACGCAAAGGAAAUGGCAGGGAGGACUACGCGGAGAGUUUCUUACCGUGAGUCGUGCGCACCGAGGCUUGGUCCAGUCGGGGUUGUGGGCUUGUGGCACCGCGGAAAGACCCGCACCGGCAAGGAAACUCCAUGGUCUGAGGCUGCCCACGUCGAAUUUGGGUUUCACAAAGCCUCCACGCACGGCCUUGCAUCACCCCUGGAAAGUCUUCUAGGCGAUUCCCAAGGAUCAAGCACUGGUGUAGGCAUGCCGUGGUGCGUCGCCCGCCACUGGUAAUGGUUUCCUCACGGAAAGAGGCAAGCGAUCCAUCAGGCUAGCACCAUCGGCAUUGGCGAGAGGGUGGAUGACGCAUUUUAUGCCCCCGCAGGCGGACUCUGCCCCGAGGAAACACGGCUGAGGGGAUAGAGGUCAGAUACGACAUACGAGAUGAGGAUCCUAGGCGCAAUCUGCGUUGAGUCUAUUGCUGU
rnacentral:lncRNA from 1 species